AGUGAUAGCUGGUUUCUCAAGAAAAGAAUCUUAGUUCACCCUAAAGCCCACAUAAUAAUAUAAAUAACAACACAACUUUAGAGCAAUCCAAACAAGGGACAGCCUGUUUGAAAAAGGAUACAACCUUCACUCGCGGGUAAUGAUACUCACUAUAACACCAAGUAGACCUAAAACCAGCCAUCUUAGUAAAAUGCGUUAAAGCUUUAUCUUAUACCACUCUUUCUCUUUUCCCACCCCCGAAUCACUAUUGAGAACUUCUAUACCGUAUAGAAACUUUUAUGUUAAAACUAGUAACAAGAACCAAUUCUCUUAAAUACACGUGUAUGUUAGGGCGAACUCACCACUAACACUUAUCUGCCAUGAAAAACAAUAGCAACUCCCUAAGAAAACCCUAUUAAUUAUUUUGUUAACCCUACAAAGAGUACUUCAAGAAAGAUAAAAAUGGAAAGAAGGAACUCGGCAAAUGGGGGAUCCCGCCUGUUUACUAAAAACACCGCCUCUUGCUACC
rnacentral:rRNA from 1 species